rnacentral:tRNA from 1 species
UGUAGUCACAACGGACUCAUCGAACAAGGGUUUGAAUUCUUUGAUUCCAUGGUUCGAGACCAUGGGUUACGGCCA